rnacentral:rRNA from 1 species
CCUGACUGCUAUCGGAUUGAUACUAAGCCAUGCGAGUCAUUGCAGUAAUGCAAGGCAGACGGCUCAGUAACGCGUAGUCAACCUACCCUAUGGACGGGAAUAACCUCGGGAAACUGAGUAUAAUGCCCGAUAGAACACUAUACCUGGAAUGGUUUGUGUUCCAAAUGAAUGUCGCCGUAGGAUGGGACUGCGGCCUAUCAGUUUGUUGGUGAGGUAAUGGCCCACCAAGACUAUUACAGGUACGGGCUCUGAGAGGAGUAGCCCGGAGAUGGGUACUGAGACACGGACCCAGGCCCUAUGGGGCGCAGCAGGCGAGAAAACUUUGCAAUGUGCGAAAGCACGACAAGGUUAAUCCGAGUGGUUUGUGCUAAACGAACCUUUUGACAGUCCUAGAAACACUGUUGAAUAAGGGGUGGGCAAGUUCUGGUGUCAGCCGCCGCGGUAAAACCAGCACCUCAAGUGGUCAGGAUGAUUAUUGGGCCUAAAGCAUCCGUAGCCGGCUCUGUAAGUUUUCGGUUAAAUCUGUACGCUCAACGUACAGGCUGCCGGGAAUACUGCAGAGCUAGGGAGUGGGAGAGGUAGACGGUACUCGGUAGGAAGGGGUAAAAUCCUUUGAUCUAUUGAUGACCACCUGUGGCGAAGGCGGUCUACCAGAACACGUCCGACGGUGAGGGAUGAAAGCUGGGGGAGCAAACCGGAUUAGAUACCCGGGUAGUCCCAGCUGUAACUAUGCAAACUCAGUGAUGCAUUGGC